UCUCCGUUGUCUCGAACUCAUCUGUAGCUAACGCGUCCAGCGCCAAAGUAACCCGAGCACUGGCUCCCCCGGGAGAACCAGGUUGCAUACUCACUUUUCCUCCCAAAUCGGCGAGAGAGGGACGGAAAGAAGGCUGUGGAAAUCCACCGCGGUGUGCCCUGGCGGGUCUGCUUGCUGCUGGGAGCAACUGCAGUGAAUGGAGCUUCUCCGGCCACUAGUGACGGCCUGGAGAGGUGUUAUAAAAGCUACUUCUCCAGAGAGCACGCCCACUUCCAUGACUCACUGAAGGAGUUUCGCUAUCUCUCGUCUCCCCCUCCUCUAUCUCUCAGUCUCUCCCUCUUUCCCCCUCCUUCCCAUCUCUCUCUGGCUGUCUCUGGCUGUCUCUCCUCUCUCCUGCUCUCCCCUCCUCUCUCCUGCUCUCCCCUCCUCUCUCCUGCUCUCCCCUCCCCUCCGUCGCCCUCCUCUCCUCUCUUUCUUGAAGUUCUCCCUUUCAGACCGUAGAAAGCCACAGGGGAAAUUUGCCCGGGCCAUCCCACCCUUCCAAGUCGGAGGAAAAUGGAGUGACUUUUUAAAAUGAUUUUUAAAAUCAGCAAACUUAUUGUUCUUUUAGGGACUCUGGGAAAGAUGAAGCCCAUCUCCCUGGAACAAGGAACUUCUGCUGGGAUGCCAUCCGCCGACUCUAGAGGAAGAAACCGAAGCCCAGAGUGGAAAAAUGACUUAGUGAGGACCACCAAGUACCAAAGCCUAAUAUAUCAAACAGGAUUCUUAAGUUUUAAAUCUGGAAAAAAAAAUUCACUCUUUAAAAACCCUAUUAUUUAUUUAUUUGAACACUUUUUAAUGUUUUUUUUAUGUUGAUUUCUGAAUUUUCUCCCCCACCGCAUUGAGAAAGCAAGAAAUGUGCUGUCAUUUAUACAUGUAAAAUCAUGCAAAAUAAAUUUCUUUUCUCUUUGAAAAAA